UCGGCCAUAUCAUGUUGAAAUUCCGGUUCCCGUAAGAUCACCGAAGUUAAGCAAUGUUGAGCCUUGUCAGUACCUAGAUGGGUGACUGCUUAGGAAUGC